GAUGAACGCUGGCGGCGUGCCUAAUACAUGCCAGUCGAGCGAACAGACGAGGAGCUUGCUCCUCUGACGUUAGCGGCGGACGGGUGAGUAAGACGUGGAUAACCUACCUAUAAGACUGGGAUAACUUCGGGAAACCGGAGCUAAUACCGGAUAAUAUAUUGAACCGCAUGGUUCAAUAGUGAAAGACGGUUUUGCUGUCACUUAUAGAUGGAUCCGCGCCGCAUUAGCUAGUUGGUAAGGUAACGGCUUACCAAGGCAACGAUGCGUAGCCGACCUGAGAGGGUGAUCGGCCACACUGGAACUGAGACACGGUCCAGACUCCUACGGGAGGCAGCAGUAGGGAAUCUUCCGCAAUGGGCGAAAGCUUGACGGAGCAACGCCGCGUGAGUGAUGAAGGUCUUCGGAUCGUAAAACUCUGUUAUUAGGGAAGAACAAAUGUGUAAGUAACUAUGCACGUCUUGACGGUACCUAAUCAGAAAGCCACGGCUAACUACGUG
rnacentral:rRNA from 1 species